rnacentral:rRNA from 1 species
GAUGAACGCUGGCGGCGUGCCUAAUACAUGCAAGUCGAGCGAACGGACGAGAAGCUUGCUUCUCUGAUGUUAGCGGCGGACGGGUGAGUAACACGUGGAUAACCUACCUAUAAGACUGGGAUAACUUCGGGAAACCGGAGCUAAUACCGGAUAAUAUUUUGAACCGCAUGGUUCAAAAGUGAAAGACGGUCUUGCUGUCACUUAUAGAUGGAUCCGCGCUGCAUUAGCUAGUUGGUAAGGUAACGGCUUACCAAGGCAACGAUGCAUAGCCGACCUGAGAGGGUGAUCGGCCACACUGGAACUGAGACACGGUCCAGACUCCUACGGGAGGCAGCAGUAGGGAAUCUUCCGCAAUGGGCGAAAGCCUGACGGAGCAACGCCGCGUGAGUGAUGAGGGUCUUCGGAUCGUAAAACUCUGUUAUUAGGGAAGAACAUAUGUGUAAGUAACUGUGCACAUCUUGACGGUACCUAAUCAGAAAGCCACGGCUAACUACGUGCCAGCAGCCGCGGUAAUACGUAGGUGGCAAGCGUUAUCCGGAAUUAUUGGGCGUAAAGCGCGCGUAGGCGGUUUUUUAAGUCUGAUGUGAAAGCCCACGGCUCAACCGUGGAGGGUCAUUGGAAACUGGAAAACUUGAGUGCAGAAGAGGAAAGUGGAAUUCCAUGUGUAGCGGUGAAAUGCGCAGAGAUAUGGAGGAACACCAGUGGCGAAGGCGACUUUCUGGUCUGUAACUGACGCUGAUGUGCGAAAGCGUGGGGAUCAAACAGGAUUAGAUACCCUGGUAGUCCACGCCGUAAACGAUGAGUGCUAAGUGUUAGGGGGUUUCCGCCCCUUAGUGCUGCAGCUAACGCAUUAAGCACUCCGCCUGGGGAGUACGACCGCAAGGUUGAAACUCAAAGGAAUUGACGGGGACCCGCACGAGCGGUGGAGCAUGUGGUUUAAUUCGAAGCAACGCGAAGAACCUUACCAAAUCUUGACAUCCUUUGACUACUCUAGAGAUAGAGCCUUCCCCUUCGGGGGACAAAGUGACAGGUGGUGCAUGGUUGUCGUCAGCUCGUGUCGUGAGAUGUUGGGUUAAGUCCCGCAACGAGCGCAACCCUUAAGCUUAGUUGCCAUCAUUAAGUUGGGCACUCUAAGUUGACUGCCGGUGACAAACCGGAGGAAGGUGGGGAUGACGUCAAAUCAUCAUGCCCCUUAUGAUUUGGGCUACACACGUGCUACAAUGGACAAUACAAAGGGCAGCGAAACCGCGAGGUCAAGCAAAUCCCAUAAAGUUGUUCUCAGUUCGGAUUGUAGUCUGCAACUCGACUACAUGAAGCUGGAAUCGCUAGUAAUCGUAGAUCAGCAUGCUACGGUGAAUACGUUCCCGGGUCU